CCUACGGGUGGCUGCAGUGGGGAAUAUUGGACAAUGGGCGCAAGCCUGAUCCAGCCAUGCCGCGUGAGUGAUGAAGGCCCUAGGGUUGUAAAGCUCUUUCGCCAGGGACGAUAAUGACGGUACCUGGAUAAGAAGCCCCGGCUAACUUAGUGCCAGCAGCCGCGGUACUACGAAGGGGGCUAGCGGUGUUCGGAAUCACUGGGCGUAAAGCGCACGUAGGCGGAUUUUUAAGUCAGGGGUGAAAUCCCGAGGCUCAACCUCGGAACUGCCUGUGAUACUGGGAGGCUUGAGGCCGGGAGAGGUGAGUGGAACAGCGAGUGUAGAGGUGAAAUUCGUAGAUAUUCGCAAGAACACCAGUGGCGAAGGCGGCUCACUGGCCCGGAACUGACGCUGAGGUGCGAAAGCGUGGGGAGCAAACAGGAUUAGAUACCCGAGUAGUC
rnacentral:rRNA from 1 species